rnacentral:misc_RNA from 1 species
GCUUUCUUCUUUCGUUUUCGGCACUCCGCACUCACCCUCGUCACUGACCCUGAAGGUUCCACAAUGCGGCAGGUGCUGUUUUUGCUGCUGCUGGCCGCGCUGCUCCUGUGCGUGCCGGCGCCUGUUACUGCUGCGCUGGAUAUGAAGCUCGUGAUGGUUCAGCUGAUGCACCGGCACGGCGCCCGCACGGCGGAGCCGAGCUACAACAAGACCCAGAUCUGCGGCGACACCCCCUGCGGGUACCUUACGUGGUCUGGGAUCGAGAUGCUCAGCAAGACGGGCGCGUUCCUGCGGAGCCGCUACAACACGGAUUCCUCCGUUGUGUCUGAGCCCAUGUUCCCCUCGGAGGACUACGACUUGGAUGUCGCAUACAGCCGCUCGACCGAUGUGCUGCGGACGCUGCAGAGCGCCGAGUCGUUCCUGCGCGGCUUCUUUCCGAACUUGACGUCUCUGUACCCCGCUAUUCACACGGUGCCAGAGCAGGAUGACUACAUUCUGUACACAAACUACGUACCGCAAUUCCAGUUUUAUUGGAGCCUGGAUAUGGCGGGCGUGCGUGCUGUUUGCAACCCGGUUGUAGAUCGGAACUUCCCUGACUUCAACACGCUGACGACGAUUGCGCAGGAGGUGUACAGUGAGGGGUACUGCAGCGAUUUCACGCGGCGCACUGAUUGUGCCUUUACGCUGUUUGAUAUCGCCGUCUCCAAGGAAGCCAUCGGAGAACUGGACAAUUAUCCGAAAUUGAAGACUAAUCGGGACAGGCUGAGUCAGGUGGCCCGCGAGCACUUUGCGAGGCAGUACGUGUACAACCGCAGCGACACCCGGUGCUUUCAGCAAGGGAGCUCUGGGCAGCCGAUUCUUCAGGAGUUCGUGAAGAAUAUCGGCGCGGCGAUGGCGGGCACCAGCAGGUACAAGCUGUACCACUACAGCGCUCACGACACGACGCUGAGCCGAAUCGCGUGCUCGUUGCAGGACACGGCCGACGACGGGCUGCUGCCGCCCUUUGCGCAGACGCUCGUUUUGGAGCUGCUGCAGAGCCUGUCAGACUCGUCGUACCAUGUGCGUGUGCUGCGCGGACACACCGGACAGAGUCCCGCAUCUGGCUUCGAGUUCGCGUGGGAGCCGGACUGGCAGCUGAAGUGCAUGAGCCCAUCUGGGCAGCUGUACAACGCGAGCGGGAACAGGUGCCCCGUGGCUGACUUCACGCGGUUUGUGCAGUGGGGUGCUGCUCCGGCAGGGUCGAUGGGGUACUGCUACCUGGACGAGAAGUACCGGCAGCUGCGCAACUGUCCGGAGGGCGGGAUCGAGGCCGGUGAGGCGUGGCAGGCGCUGCCGAGCGGAUGCCAGUACUACCGAAGGCGGUGCCCGUCGUACUCGUGCGACGCUGGGUACAUGCUGGACAGUUUGUCGUUGCAGUGCGUAUGUAUUGCCCCUUCAUGCCUUCCGACGUCCAGCACUGCUGCGCCAGGGUUGCCGGAUGGCAGUCCUCACGGCGCGGCGAACAAUACACUUGCAAAGCCCUCCGGGCUGAGUGCCGGCGGCACGGCUGCCGUGGCGAUGGGAACCUUCUGCAUCGGGGCUCUUCUCGCUGCUUUCGUCACCGCUGCGGUGCUCCUCUGCUGCAAGCAUCGCAAAUCCCCCCCCUUCUCCGAGGUUUGAAAGCUGCAAGGAGAGGCAUGUGGGUGUUCACCGACGCUGGUGAAUCCAUCGUGUGUUUUCGGUUUCUCUUCCGCUCCCAUGAGCGACAUGGUAAUGCCUCUAAGCAGCAAUCACAACAGCGGACAAAUGUAUGCUGUCCAGUAGAAAUAGACCGCCUCGAAAGGACAAAACGAGACUUCACGCUACUCGUUUGUAACUCCGAGGUCCACCCUCUUCUUUUGGUUCCCACGGUUCGAGUGUUGGUGUGGUUCACUGCCCUCUCUCUGAAGGAAAAAAAACACGCAACACGGCGCCAGACCAACCACUUGCCACGCGGGAGCCUUCGCAAGGUGUCGAUGAGCACGCCGAGAGGCUCACUCGCCUUUUUUCUCGUUCUCCUCUUCCUCUGGUCGCUAGUGAAAAGAGUACAGCAUGAAGGACGGCGAACGGAGGUCAAAAAAUGAACCAUCUCCCCGAAGCAAGACGACGGGCGAGCUCGAACUCGCACAGACGUCCCUCGCUUCGUUUCGCUUCGUGUUUUUUUAACUCUCAUUUGUGAUGUACAGCUCGCUGCGCUGUUUCUUUUUCUUUUCCCCCUUCUCUCGUUUCUCUUGUUGCUGCCCCCUGCAUAAUGAUUUGUAUUAACUCUGUUCUCUCGUUGCGCGAGGUUUCGGCUUGCAG